rnacentral:lncRNA from 13 species
CCGGCCCCGGCCGCUGUCCCCGCUGGAACCGCGCUCCCGCACCCCGGCGGCAGCUGGCGGGGCCGGGGAGAGCCGCCGGGUUCGUGCUCCCCGGCGGGAACCUCGCGGGAGAGCGCUCCGCAGCGGGCCCUCCGGCCGGGUGGGAUGCCCGAGAUCGCCGGCUGCUCAGCCAAUACCACGAGGUUCAGGUGGGGAGGUGCAGUGCUGGGACUCCGCAAGGUCUGGAUGGAGCAGACAGAUUAAAUGAGACCACCUCCCAUCAUCCCUCCUUUCAGUCCGUGUGCCCCCGACCCAACGAGUCUGUAUCUGUGAUCCAGCCUUCAGGAGAGGAGAGAGAGGCAGGAGCAGUAUCCCCUGGGGCAGGGAUUGUUUUGAGGCUGGGGAUGUGUGUGGAAGGAAGAGCCUGAGGAUGCAGAUGGAAUGGAAGAAAAUCUAAGUGAUUAAACGGCUGUAGAUGAGUGGAGAUAUGGCUUAAGAGAUUGAUGGCCGCCUGCUGGGUGGAGAGAUGGAAGGAAAGAUUGGAUUCACGUGCAGCAGGAUUGCAAAUCUGCCCUCCCUUCCCAUGUUAAAUUGCAUUCGUUACUGGUUUUUAGCCUUCCCCUGUGUAAACUUCCACACAGCUCUGUCCCACACCUUUAUGGCCACAUCUGCUAUUUCCACCUCCCGGACCCUCUGGUCUGUUUUGGGGGGGAACAGGCGAUAAAAUAAACCUCGUGCAGCCACAGCAGCUGUUUGCUGUGUCAGUGUUUUCUUUGGCUGACGCGAGUGCGUUCUGGUAUUGUGCACCACUGCCUGUGUCAGUAACCGUGCACAGAGGAGGGAAAGCUGCAGGUACAGAGCGCACUCAGCAUCGGUGUGCACCCCAG